rnacentral:lncRNA from 1 species
UAUUUAGAUUGGGUGGUACAAAAACUUGCUGGAAAUCUACAUCAUAUAUAUAUGUGCAAUCAGGAAAGUUUUAAAAGACAAAGUUAAGAACAUGGGAUGGAGAUUAUUUGUUUAACAACUCUUUAGAUAUGAGUCCAUAAAAUUUGCCUGCUUUUUACAAAUUACACAGGAGUCUAUGUAAUUAGGACACAUAUUUUGUGUUCACCUUUCAACCAUAAGACUUUCCAUCACGUAAUGUUGCGAAUGGAUUCAGAUUUCAUUUCCGUAUUUUAACAAAGCAAGUUUCAUCGAAAGACAAUUUAGAUAAUUUUUUUAGAUUAUCAAUGACACCGUCCAGAA